rnacentral:pre_miRNA from 1 species
AUUUUAAAUGCAUGAAUGAAAGACACGGGUAGUGAGAUAAGCUAUAUAUCAUCUCAUUGCCAAUGUCUUUUAAACGUGUUAUUU